rnacentral:rRNA from 1 species
CCAGUAAACGGCGGCCGUAACUAUAACGGUCCUAAGGUAGCGAAAUUCCUUGUCAGGUAAGUUCUGACCCGCACGAAUGGCGUAACGAUUUGGGCACUGUCUCAACAGCCCGCCCGGCGAAAUUGUAGUACCGGUGAAGAUGCCGGUUUCCCGCAACUAGACGGAAAGACCCCAUGGAGCUUCACUGUAGCUUGAUAUUGGAUCUCGGUAUUCCAUGUACAGGAUAGGUGGGAGGCUAGGAAGUAAGCGCGCCAGCGUUUAUGGAGCCAACCUUGGGAUACCACUCUUGGGAUAUUGGGAUUCUAACCUGCGACCAUGAAUCUGGUCGGGGGACACUGUCAGGUGGGCAGUUUGACUGGGGCGGUCGCCUCCAAAAGAGUAACGGAGGCGCUCAAAGGUUCGUUCAGCACGGAUGGAAAUCGUGCACUGAGUGUAAACGCAUAAACGAGCCUAACUGCGAGAAUGACGGUUCGAGCAGUAACGAAAGUUGGAGUUAGUGAUCCGGCGGUAUGUGAAUGGAAAUGCCGUCGCUCAACGGAUAAAAGCUACCCUGGGGAUAACAGGCUGAUCUCCCCCAAGAGUCCACAUCGACGGGGAGGUUUGGCACCUCGAUGUCGGCUCAUCGCAUCCUGGGGCUGUAGUCGGUCCCAAGGGUUGGGCUGUUCGCCCAUUAAAGCGGUACGCGAGCUGGGUUCAGAACGUCGUGAGACAGUUCGGUCCCUAUCUGUUGCGGGCGCAGGAAUAUUGAGAGGAGCUGUCCUUAGUACGAGAGGACCGGGAUGGACGUACCGCUGGUGCACCAGUUGUUCUGCCAAGGGCAUAGCUGGGUAGCUAAGUACGGACGAGAUAAACGCUGAAGGCAUCUAAGCGUGAAACUCCCCUCGAGAUAAGUGUUCCCAUCCUUCGGGAGUAAGGCCCCUUGUAGACUACAAGGUUGAUAGGUCAGGAGUGGAAGUGCAGUAAUGUAUGGAGCGGACUGAUACUAAUAGGCCGAGGGCUUGACCUU